rnacentral:lncRNA from 1 species
UGAACUUUUCAGUUGACUCUCAUUAUAGUUUUAUGAAAACAGUCCCGCAUUUGUAAUAAUGAAAAAAAUGACCAAAAUGAUAGCAGUUGCAAUUCAGCAGUUUAUUUUCAGUGUUUUUACUUGAGAACCAUAGCAGUGAACUUAGGUGAUGUGGUCUUUCCUGCUCUGAGUCAAGGAGGGUCACUUCUCUCAGCUAGGUAAGACAGGAAGAUCCUCUUAACCUGAGAUUUCAGUGCUCAUUAGGAGUUGAGCAGAUGAAUGGGGUUAGAAGAAGGAAAAGCAAAUGAGAAUGGCAUAUGUGAAAGAUAGUCUAUUCAAGGAAUAAAAGAAAUUGACUAUGAUUUGUUGACGGGGACAGCCAGGAUAAGCAGGAAGUUCGGAAAGGCAACCAGCUUCAGAGUAUGCUGGCCUAUCCAAGUCAUA